UGUAGGGGUUCACAGUCACGCAGAACAGUCCUGAGUAUGUCUGGGAGGAGAGACGUAACAUACAUGAAGCCUACAAGGGCAGAAAACCUACGUCUCCAGUAAAAAACCCAGAUGGUACUUGCAGAUGCACGCAAGACUUGCUGGUAAAGCGCCAUUACACCUCUUACCGCUGACAGCCAGUACCACUGAGGAGGGGAGAAUUACUCAGCUGCCCAGGUAUAUUAUGUUGUAGACAGGCUGAGCUGUGAGCGGAAAAGCUCUGCACCUACCACAAUGGGUUGCACAUAAUGGCCAAUUGGACAAUCGCAGAAAGACUGAAGAGCAUGAUAACACCAUCAUGGAUGGUACUGAAUAAAAACCAUGAUUGGGUGAGAUGAAACCUUGGUGGGGCAUUUGCACAAGGGCUGAAGGAUGCCCCCAUCAGUUCUCUGGGUCAUGAUGUGCAGUGCUGUUUUGGAGCCACUACAAAAUGUAUCCAAAUUGAAAUA